UACAGAGGUCUCGAGCGUUAAUCGGAGUCACUGGGCUUAAAGGGUGCGUAGGCCGGUCUGUAAGUGCCUUGUGAAAUCCCAUGGCUCAACCAUGGAAUUGCUCGGUAGACUGCAGGCCUUGAGGUCGGUAGGGGCAGCCGGAACUCUAGGUGGAGCGGUGAAAUGCGUAGAUAUCUAGAGGAACGCCGAAGGUGAAGACAGGCUGCUGGGCCGAUUCUGACGCUGAGGCACGAAAGCGUGGGGAGCAAAC
rnacentral:rRNA from 1 species